GGUGGGUCACAGCGGUUGUUGCUGAGAUCUUUAGCAUGUAAACUCACCCUAAACAUGCUCAGAGCUACUCACAGCUGCCCUUUUAUUUGGACAAGGAUACUGGGGUUCAGAGAAGGAGCCAAGGACGCCAGAACUGGGGGUCCCAGAGACUCUGAUCAGAUCACAAGCACUCCAAGGGCAAAUGCUUUCAUCCAGUUGGUUUAUUGAUGUCCCAAGUGCCUAGAACACUGCCUGGUGUAAGGUUUUUGGAUAGACAGGCGUCAGAGAAAGAGAUGAACUGAGUUGAAAGGGGUAAGUAAUGAGGCUUUACUGGGGCACUCCCGGGCGAGGUUCACGGGCCCUGAGAGAGAGAGAGAGAGACCCGAGAAGUCGUAUCGC